rnacentral:sRNA from 1 species
CUCUAAAACGACGUCGU